rnacentral:rRNA from 1 species
UGCAAGUCGAACGGUAACAGGAAGCAGCUUGCUGCUUCGCUGACGAGUGGCGGACGGGUGAGUAAUGUCUGGGAAACUGCCUGAUGGAGGGGGAUAACUACUGGAAACGGUGGCUAAUACCGCAUAACGUCGCAAGACCAAAGAGGGGGACCUUCGGGCCUCUUGCCAUCAGAUGUGCCCAGAUGGGAUUAGCUAGUUGGUGAGGUAACGGCUCACCAAGGCGACGAUCCCUAGCUGGUCUGAGAGGAUGACCAGCCACACUGGAACUGAGACACGGUCCAGACUCCUACGGGAGGCAGCAGUGGGGAAUAUUGCACAAUGGGCGCAAGCCUGAUGCAGCCAUGCCGCGUGUAUGAAGAAGGCCUUCGGGUUGUAAAGUACUUUCAGCGGGGAGGAAGGUGUUGUGGUUAAUAACCGCAGCAAUUGACGUUACCCGCAGAAGAAGCACCGGCUAACUCCGUGCCAGCAGCCGCGGUAAUACGGAGGGUGCAAGCGUUAAUCGGAAUUACUGGGCGUAAAGCGCACGCAGGCGGUCUGUCAAGUCGGAUGUGAAAUCCCCGGGCUCAACCUGGGAACUGCAUUCGAAACUGGCAGGCUUGAGUCUUGUAGAGGGGGGUAGAAUUCCAGGUGUAGCGGUGAAAUGCGUAGAGAUCUGGAGGAAUACCGGUGGCGAAGGCGGCCCCCUGGACAAAGACUGACGCUCAGGUGCGAAAGCGUGGGGAGCAAACAGGAUUAGAUACCCUGGUAGUCCACGCCGUAAACGAUGUCUACUUGGAGGUUGUGCCCUUGAGGCGUGGCUUCCGGAGCUAACGCGUUAAGUAGACCGCCUGGGGAGUACGGCCGCAAGGUUAAAACUCAAAUGAAUUGACGGGGGCCCGCACAAGCGGUGGAGCAUGUGGUUUAAUUCGAUGCAACGCGAAGAACCUUACCUGGUCUUGACAUCCACAGAACUUUCCAGAGAUGGAUUGGUGCCUUCGGGAACUGUGAGACAGGUGCUGCAUGGCUGUCGUCAGCUCGUGUUGUGAAAUGUUGGGUUAAGUCCCGCAACGAGCGCAAC